GUGCAUCCUCUGUGGAAAACAGUAUGGCAGUUUCUCAGAUAAUUAAAAUUAGAACUACAACAUGAUCCAGCAAUUCAACUUCUGAGUAUAUACCCAAAAGAAUUGAAAACUCAAUCUCAAAGAGCUAUUUCUGUUCCCAGAUUGAUAGCUGCAUUAUUCACAAUAGCUCAAAGGCAGAAGCAACCCAAAUGUCCAUUGAUGGAUGAAUGGAUAAAUCAAAUGUGGCCUGUACAUACAAUGAACUAUUAUUCAUCCUUUAAAAGGAAGGAAAUUAUGACACAUACUGCAGCAUGGAUGAAACUUGAGGACAUUUUGCCACGUGAAAGAAGUCAGUCACCAAAAGAUAAAUGUUGCAUAAUUAAACUUGUAAGAGCUAUGUAGAAUUGUCAAAUUCACAGACACGGGAAGUGGAAGAGUGGUUGCCUGGAGCUGGGAGGAGAGAAUAGAGUUUGUUUUUCAAGAUGAGACUAAUGUGAAGAUUUGUUGCACAGCAAUGUAAAUAUACUUACUAAUGGACUCUACACUAAAAAAUGGAAAAUUUUAUGUUUUUAUUUUACCACAAUUUUUUUAAGUCUCCACCCUUGUCUGAAUGUCCCCUGAGGAAAAAUCACUGCUGGUUGAGAACCACCAGCUUAAAGCUUGGCCUUCUUAACAUCUCGGUGCCUUGAGGAUUUGUUAAACUGACUCCUCCCCUGGCCUCGGGGUGGAUUUUCACUUAGGAGCAGGAAUUGAAACCAGCAGGUGACCCAAAAAUAUUUGUAUUUUCUUUUAAGCAAACAAAAGUGAGUUGUGUGGAGAGUUAUAUUGCAUGGCUGUGGUAUUUGGAUGGUAUGAAUAUUGUCUGGGAGCCAAGACCAAAGCAGCGUGUAAAUUAGAUUUCCCUGUGUCUGAUCCACAACAUUUGAGAGCUGCUGGAUAUUGCAACGUCAUUUAUUCAUUCAACAAUUGUUUAUUUUAAGAGCCUAUGCUGUGCCAAGCACUGUUCUAGGUGCUUGGAAUACAGCGGUGUACAAAACAAAAAUCCCUACUCUAAAGGAGUGCGUGAAUUUGACUUUCUACUAGGCAAGAAAUCUGGAACAGCAAAUAGUCUCACCCACCUUCACCAGGAGGACUGAGGAGUUGCAGGUAAAGGUUAUUUAAUUCUAAUGCCUUCUGAGAACCUUUGGAUGAAGUGUUUAAAAAUGGUAGUGAUUGUGGCCAUUCUGCUCACAGACCCUCCUGGGCAGCAUGGCUUUCAGGUAUAGCCAUGGUUUCUCUCCGUGACCCCCCUCUUCCUCUUCCUCAGCAAAAUGAUUGGAGUCAAGAACAGCAGCUAACCAGUGAGUUGGAGUCAAGAACAGCAGCUAAGUAACAGCACAGCAUGGCAAAGUGGACCAAUCAGAUUAGAUUCCCUCUCUGAAGAAUAGAAAUUAAAAAAUUCCGAGAGAGUGAGACACUGGAAGCUGAAGCUAGGAGGAUGUGUAGGGAGAGCUGGCAGGAGGUGGAAAUGGGCCCAUGAGCAUCGUCAUAAGAUGAAGGGUAAGGAAACAGGAGACAGGAAAGCAGAAGCUCAGGCUGAGGGCAGGUCCAAGAGCAAAGAUGGACAUUCAACUGAAAAAAAUGCACAGUCUGAAAGUUGAAAAUUAUGUUUUAUUCAGCAGGUGUUCUGAGGUCUUAUGCCCAGAAGACAGCCUCUCAGAUAGCUCUGAGGGACCACUCUAAAGAGGUAUCUGGGCAAAACAAAAGCAAAAAACGUACCUCCCAGCCCCACCCACUUCAGGAGAAUCUGAUGAUAACAGGCUGUUGGUCAAGAUGGAGAGAUAUGAGCCUGGAGUUUACAAUCUGAUUUUGGAGACUCUUGGAGCUGCAGGGACCACAGAAGUCUUUUCCUCUGAUGUCACUGGCCCUGUGACUUCCAUUCCAGGUGGUGUCCUCAUGCCAGGUAAGAGGAUGGCUCCACAAAAGUCAUACCUGUUCUCAUGGUCAAGGCCAGUACCCUCGGAAAGCUUUCUGGUAGUCAAGGUCUCAGAUAUGGCCCUUUCCCUCUGCCUUCAGCUCCUUUUGUCUCAGAGAAAUGUCCAGAAAGGACCACACAAGCCACUGGUGUAUGAUGUGCAUAUGACAAACCAACAGUGUGGAAGUCCAACCACAUUGAUCUUUCCUUGUCUCUUUGUGCUCUCUCCCUUGCCUCCAGUCGUUCGUACCCACUGUUCCAUCCACUGAAAACACUCAAGUUCCUACCCUCCCUGUUCUACCUGUUUUUCACCUGACCCACUAUCCCUCAUUCUUCAGGGUUCAGCUCAGACAUGCUUCCUCCAGGAUGGUCCCAGUGAUUUGGAAAUAGGUCCCUCUGCCUCAAACUCUCAGGGGGACCUCUGCAUGUUCCCUAUCACCACCUCAUUCUUGACAGUUUUGUUGCUCCCCCAUGACAGUCUGGCAUUAGGGUCCAGGGAUGCUGUCUUUUCAGCCUGUUCCCCUGGGCCCUAAAACAUAGGACAGUCUCAACAAAUAUUUUGCAGGAAUGUCACAAGGAAAAUUCCUGAAAAUCCUGGUUCAGUAAAUUCAAAGGGAGAAAGGAAAGCACAAGCUUAACCUUCUACACCUUGAGUGUUCCUGUUCCCUGGAGUGCUGCACCUGGGUGUAGGCUUUUUUUUUUCCUCUGGGUGCUGAGUUGCUGCAGGGCAAAAUUUCACUCAAAGCUCUGUAUUAGUGCCUGUGGCUAUGAUCAGGUUUGCAUUGCUGAAUUUCUCCCAAAUUGAGUUUUGUUUUUGUUUUUUUUUAAACUCCAGCUAAACCUAGUGUUUUCCAAUUUCAAGGAGUAAUAAUCCACUUGGACUCCAUAAUGAAGCUACCAGCACUUCAAGUACUAUCAACUCUGAAUGCAAAAACCAAAGUCAAGAGUUCAUACCACUGAAUUAUAAUCAGGGUCAGUCUAGAAAAGGAUGAACAUCAAGUGAUCAUGCCUUGGGAUCUGAUCCAUCCCACAUCCCAUCUGUGAGCCCCGGAGAGAUUCCAGGUUGGCCGGUGGUAAGGGCCAGUCCAUAUUGACACUAAUUCGUGAUGUCACCUUUUGAGUGAUACUUGGUAAGUGCAUCAGGAAAUUUACUUUCCUUUCUUAAAAACUAUUUUUCCAACACUCUAAUGUGUAAUGACUGCAAAUAUCUUUUAAUAAUUAUAUUUGCAACAAGGGUGGCAUGGAUAUGAUUGAAAUAGCAUUUGGCUGGGGACCUAUUAGAAUGUCCAAGCUUUUAGGAAGUGUCUUCCUGGACUGUGGGGUCAAACUUCAUCCCUGAGGGUGAGGCUGGGGCAGUCCUUCCCUAAAGGGAACAAAUGAUCCCACUGCCAAUUGACUUGGGCAUAAAUUCACUUUGGAGAGAAGAGAUGAUUUCCUUCAGUCAGAUUAGAGCAGACUCGGGCCAAGAUUCCGAGGUGUGGAGAGGUCCCAAGAGUGGAUGUGCUGUCUGGUUCUGUCAGGGCAAUGGUCCUGCAUGGCCCAUGAGGGCACCAUGCUCAAGGAAAAGGACACAAAUUAUGCCUCUACUGUUGUGCAACAAGAUGGCGCCACACUAGACAGAGACCAGAACCAGCUCAGUGGGGGACCUGGGAUGGGCUUGGGCUUGGGCUUGUGCCUAAGUUGAGAGGGCCUGUGGCCAUGCUUGAGGUGAUGUGGUAGAGAGGAAACCAUCUUUCCCCCACUGCCAUGGUCAGACUUGGGGAAGACAGAGAACAGGGCCUUGGGGCCAGCAUGUAGGGAGCUCUGGUUUGGAGCAGAGGUUUCCUGAGUAGUGAGAGUUUGAGACAGUAAUUGUGUCCUUCAGCUUUCCUUGUGAGCAACCAGGCAUUUGCAUGUGAUUAAUUAACAUGUUUCUUGGACAUCUGGGGCGAAGGAGGGAGAUGGCCUCAGCUGAGCAGCCGGGACAAGGAGUCACUGUAGUUUGGACCAUCAGUCUGGGUGAUAAUGUUUUUACACAAAGCUGGGGACUUGCCAUGUCUGUUACAUAGGAUUCUGUUGGCCUGUUUCUUGUGGAGGGAAAAAGUGAUCAAAUGGUUGUAGAUUUUAUUUUAUUUUAUUUAUUUAUUUUUAUUACUCAAUGAAUUUAUUACAUUUAUAGCUGUACAAUGAUCAUCAC